GUGGCUGUAGCUCAGCCUGGGAGAGUACUCCGCUGAAGCCGGAGAUACCUUGCUGAAAUAUCAGCGGUACUGGAUUUGUCGCUGGUUCAAAUCCAGCCAGCCACA
rnacentral:tRNA from 1 species